UCUUUAUCGCGAAGGGAAGAGGCACAGGAGGUGCUGGAAGGGCCGACCUUUCUCCCUCGGACCAAACAUCAAGUCAGCAGAAAUUUAAAAUAGCGGAUACACGGCAGCAAAGCCGUGUCGGGCAGCCAGGUUGCGUGGUUAAACUCUAGGUUCGGAGCAGCUGAGCCUGGCUCCUGAUUGCGUCUUACUAAAGACAGGACCUUGGAUAAAUUAUAUAACCGCUCUGAGCCUCGGUUUCCUGGUCGCUAAACGGAUGCAAAUUAUAUCUACUUCACUGCACGGUUAUGAAGAUUACAGGAAAGAAUCUGUGUAAAGUGCUAGUAUUUAGUGCUGCCAAUCCUGAUGGAAGAGGGAGGCGCUGGAAGGCUCCAUAAGGCGUCAUAAGAUCUGACUACUAGAAAACUCAAAAUGAUAAAUGUAGCUCUUGUUACAUUUCUACUGGCUGGGCACCGGAAUGCGCACAUAAAGGGUCUUUCACAUGCUGGCCUCUUUCCCAUCCAAUUUCUCCCUAGCAGGAGAUCUUCCUGAAAUAAUGCAGACCGGAGUACCUCACACAUUCCCCCAACACAAACAGGAACUUGUUACUCACUUGCCAUUGUUCUUGGGGGAAAGAACAAAAGCCCCAAUCUGUCCUCCAGGCUGCUGACUUCCUCAACCUGGCCCCACACAGGCCACAGAGCCACCUUCCAUCCCUUGGCCAGGAAGCUCCUUCCCACCUCAGGGCCUUUUCAUAGACCCU